rnacentral:rRNA from 1 species
GACGAACGCUGGCGGCGUGCCUUACACAUGCAAGUCGAACGGUAACAGGGUGCUUGCACCGCUGACGAGUGGCGAACGGGUGAGUAAUGCGUCGGAACGUGCCGAGUAGUGGGGGAUAACGCAGCGAAAGUUGUGCUAAUACCGCAUACGUACUGAGGUAGAAAGUGGGGGACCUUCGGGCCUCACGCUAUUCGAGCGGCCGACGUCUGAUUAGCUAGUAGGUGAGGUAAAGGCUCACCUAGGCGACGAUCAGUAGCGGGUCUGAGAGGAUGAUCCGCCACACUGGGACUGAGACACGGCCCAGACUCCUACGGGAGGCAGCAGUGGGGAAUUUUGGACAAUGGGCGAAAGCCUGAUCCAGCCAUGCCGCGUGUCUGAAGAAGGCCUUCGGGUUGUAAAGGACUUUUGUCAGGGAGGAAAUCCCUAGUGCUAAUAACACUGGGGGAUGACAGUACCUGAAGAAUAAGCACCGGCUAACUACGUGCCAGCCGCCGCCGUAAGAC